UUUGACCUCAAAUCAGGUAGGGUUACCCGCUGAACUUAAGCAUAUCAAUAAGCGGAGGAAAAGAAACUAACAAGGAUUCCCCUAGUAACUGCGAGUGAAGCGGGAAAAGCUCAAAUUUAAAAUCUGGCGGUCUUUGACCGUCCGAGUUGUAGUCUGGAGAAGUGCUUUCCGCGCUGGACCGUGUACAAGUCUCUUGGAACAGAGCGUCAUAGAGGGUGAGAAUCCCGUCUUUGACACGGACUACCAGUGCUUUGUGAUGCGCUCUCAAAGAGUCGAGUUGUUUGGGAAUGCAGCUCAAAAUGGGUGGUAAAUUCCAUCUAAAGCUAAAUAUUGGCGAGAGACCGAUAGCGAACAAGUACCGUGAGGGAAAGAUGAAAAGCACUUUGGAAAGAGAGUUAAACAGUACGUGAAAUUGCUGAAAGGGAAACGCUUGAAGUCAGUCGCGUUGGCCAGGACUCAGCCUUGCUUUUGCUUGGUGCACUUUCUGGUUGACGGGCCAGCAUCGAUUUUGACCGCUGGAAAAAGGUUGGGGGAAUGUGGCACCUUCGGGUGUGUUAUAGCCCUCAGUCACAUACGGUGGUUGGGAUCGAGGACCGCAGCACGCCUUCAUGGCCGGGGUUCGCCCACGUUCGUGCUUAGGAUGCUGGCGUAAUGGCUUUAAACGACCCGUCUUGAAACACGGACCAAGGAGUCUAACAUGCCUGCGAGUGUUUGGGUGGAAAACCCGAGCGCGUAAUGAAAGUGAAAGUUGAGAUCCCUGUCGCGGGGAGCAUCGACGCCCGGACCUGAACUUCGGUGAUGGCUCUGCGGUAGAGCAUGUAUGUUGGGACCCGAAAGAUGGUGAACUAUGCCUGAAUAGGGUGAAGCCAGAGGAAACUCUGGUGGAGGCUCGUAGCGAUUCUGACGUGCAAAUCGAUCGUCAAAUUUGGGUAUAGGGGCGAAAGACUAAUCGAACCAUCUAGUAGCUGGUUCCUGCCGAAGUUUCCCUCAGGAUAGCAGAAACUCGUAUCAGAUUUAUGUGGUAAAGCGAAUGAUUAGAGGCCUUGGGGUUGAAACAACCUUAACCUAUUCUCAAACUUUAAAUAUGUAAGA
rnacentral:rRNA from 2 species